rnacentral:sRNA from 1 species
AGAAUGGAGAUCCAGUUCGCCCAGGAGUAGCUAUGACUGAUCUUGCCACUGGCCUGUAUGCAUAUGGAGCUAUUAUGGCUGGAUUGAUACAAAAAUACAAAACUGGGAAAGGACUGUUCAUUGAUUGUAACCUACUGUCAUCCCAGGUGGCGUGUUUGUCUCACAUAGCUGCAAAUUAUCUUAUUGGUCAAAAGGAAGCAAAACGUUGGGGUACAGCUCAUGGCAGUAUCGUUCCUUACCAGAUGAGGAAGAGAGUUUGUUACUUCGCUGAGGAAACACAGCCUGCAAGCGGAUGAGUUGGAAUCGAAUGCAAGUUUGGAAGGAAGUAUCCUCUCCCCAAAUGUGGGGCAGAGAGAUGCUUGGGCUGACCUAAUUGUUAAAGCCUCAGUCAGUGUUAUGCUGAAUUUGUCGCUUACAUGUCUGCACAUUACUUUCAAUUGAAAGUAGAAAAAUGAAAUAGAGAUCUAAUAAACAUUACCACAAUGUUAAGACUGAAAAAA